GCCUUGUGAGCACCAGGACAUUAUGCCACAGAAAGUCUGCCAACGCAGAGCCAGUCCCUGAAGGCACGAUCUUGCACCAUUAUCCCCAGUUGGAAGCUGCCUUUAACCUCUCUAACACUGUCUGUGGGUCUGUAUGAAGGAAAGGCUCAUUGCACUAGUUACUGGCCUCACAUUUCCAAGAAUCCAGAAGCUGCAAAAGCCAAGUCCAGUUUAGAUCUCUCCUUCCCACCAGAGAGAUUAAAAUGGUAGCAAGACUGCUGUACUGUCCCUCUGCUG
rnacentral:lncRNA from 1 species